ACUCUCUCACCUCUCUCUAAUUUUCUUGCUUCGUCGUUCGAUUUGACUGGAAUUUUAAUAUAUUGCUUCUCUCCCCGUGCUCUUCCUCCUCAUGGUUUCAGAUCUCCCAAAAAGUCACUGAUUGCCGUUCACCACCGUUGCUCUGUCAUUGUCACCAUGAAUGCCACUGUCGGUGCCAAUCUUACCUCCUCUUCAAUCAGUUUUCUCAAAGAAUUCCUAGAUCUUCUUAAGUCUAAACCCAGAGUCACAGAUUCAAACAAAACUGCCAGUCUCCUCUGCUAUUCUAACACCCAAAAUCACUCAAAAAUGUUUCUCCUUCUUUACUACCUAGAGGAAACCCAAAAAGCUACUAGGGUCAACAACACCCGAAAGCCUCAAAUAUCACUACCCAACCGCACCCUUUAUUUUUGCUUUGAUUCUUGUUUGCCGGAUCAUUGUUGCUGGUUUUGAUGGUGGUAUUGGCACCAGUAAGGUGUUGGGUUCUAGUAGCUAGCUGGCAAUCAAUGGGAUGAAUGAUGACGAGAAGCUGAAGGAAGCUGUUAAUUCAAAGGAAGUUGAGGAAUUCAUGAAGAUGCCACCUGGUGCAGCGAAAUAACAGAUAGGCUGAGUUGGCAUAUCAGCUGACUAAAGUUAGUUAUAUGAGAGAUAAUAGCUGUUUGAUAAGGCAGUUGUCUCAUUUGAAUUAGUAUUUCCAAAUUACGAGAAUAUAAUAGCCAUUUUGAUCAUGAAAUGAAAAAUAAAAGAUGAUCAAGGUGCUGCUCCCACAGAAACCCCUACUCCAGCCUCUGAUUCGUUAAUAGAUUAUAACCAAGACACUUAUGUACAAGAAAACCAAGCUCAUCUGUUGCAUACCGUCCCCAGAAUAUGAGAUGAGUAGGAUAUUUCUCAUUUUUAUCUCCGAUUUUUUUGUUCAUUAUACCAAUUUCCCAUGCCUAUCGAAUGUAAGAGAUACGAAAAAUCCCCAUCCCUGUAACUCAAAUUACACAUUUCGAUCCUCGUACCUCAUAAAAUUUUAAAACUAUAUCCAAUACUCAUCCUAAAAUUUAAUACACAUCUAUAUUCUCAUUCCCAAUUUGAAUAAAAAAUCAGAUUACCGAUCAGAUUUGGGUAAUUGACAUCCCUACCCCAGAGUGAUCCAAGGUAGGCUGUUCCAAAGCCAGAGAUUUCUGAUCUUCUGGUAAGACUUGUCUUGAGCUAAUACACUAGGUAAGAAUAGGUUCAUUAU